rnacentral:rRNA from 1 species
UACGUAGGGUGCAAGCGUUGUCCGGAAUUAUUGGGCGUAAAGAGCUCGUAGGCGGUCUGUCACGUCUGCUGUGAAAACUCGGGGCUUAACCCCGGGCCUGCAGUGGGUACGGGCAGACUAGAGUGCGGUAGGGGAGACUGGAAUUCCUGGUGUAGCGGUGAAAUGCGCAGAUAUCAGGAGGAACACCGGUGGCGAAGGCGGGUCUCUGGACAGUUCCUGACGCUGAGGCACGAAGGUCAGGGGAGCAAACGGG